rnacentral:rRNA from 1 species
AUUGAAAGGGCGCAUGGCGGAUUCCUAGGCAUCUAGAGGCGAUGAAGGGCGUGACUACCGACGAAACGCUCCAGGGAGCCGGAAAAAGGUUUUGAUCUGGAGAUUCCCGAAUGGGGCAACCCACAUAUUCCUUGCAGAAUUCAUACGCAAGAGAAAGCAAACUCGGGGAACUGAAACAUCUUAGUACCCGAAGGAAGAGAAAGCAAACGCGAUUCCCCUAGUAGCGGCGAGCGAACGGGGAGCAGCCCUUAAGCUGUUUAGAAUUUAGUGGAAUCCUUUGGGAAGAGGAGCGAUACAAGGUGAUAGCCCUGUACACGACGGAUUCUUUACAGUGAAAUCGAGUAGGUCGGGACACGUGUUAUCUUGACUGAAUAUGGGGGGACCAUCCUCCAAGGCUAAAUACUCCUAACUGACCGAUAGUGAACCAGUACCGUGAGGGAAAGGCGAAAAGAACCCCUGUGAGGGGAGUGAAAUAGAACCUGAAACCGUAUACGUACAAGCAGUGGGAGCCACUUCGUGUGGUGACUGCGUACCUUUUGUAUAAUGGGUCAGCGACUUAUAUUUAGUAGCAAGGUUAAGUGAAUAACGGAGCCGUAGCGAAAGCGAGUGUUAACUGCGCGUUUAGUUGCUAGGUAUAGACCCGAAACCCGGUGAUCUAGCCAUGGGCAGGUUGAAGGUUGAGUAACAUCAACUGGAGGACCGAACCCACUAACUUUGAAAAGUUAGGGGAUGACCUGUGGCUGGGGGUGAAAGGCCAAUCAAACCGGGAGAUAGCUGGUUCUCCCCGAAAUCUAUUUAGGUAGAGCCUCGGACGAAUUCCAUUGGGGGUAGAGCACUGUUAAGGCUAGGGGGUCAUCCCGACUUACCAACCCUUUGCAAACUCCGAAUACCAAUGAGAACUAUCCGGGAGACACACGGCGGGUGCUAACGUCCGUCGUGGAGAGGGAAACAACCCAGACCGCCAGCUAAGGUCCCAAAAUAUUGCUAAGUGGGAAACGAUGUGGGAAGGCAUAGACAGCUAGGAGGUUGGCUUAGAAGCAGCCACCCUUUAAAGAAAGCGUAAUAGCUCACUAGUCGAGUCGGCCUGCGCGGAAGAUGUAACGGGGCUAAGCAAUAUACCGAAGCUGCGGCAGCAUGUUUACAUGCUGGGUAGGGGAGCGUUGUGUAAGUGGAUGAAGGUGAGUUGUAAAGCUUGCUGGACAUAUCACAAGUGCGAAUGCUGACAUGAGUAACGAUAAUGGGAGUGAAAAACUCCCACGCCGGAAGACCAAGGUUUCCUGUCCCAUGCUAAUCAGGGCAGGGUAAGUCGGCCCCUAAGGCGAGGCAGAAAUGCGUAGUCGAUGGGAAACGGGUUAAUAUUCCCGUACUUAUAUAAUCAGUGAUGGAGGGACGGAGAAGGCUAGGCAAGCUUGGCGUUGGUUGUCCAAGUGAAAGUGAGUAGGCUGAAGACUUAGGUAAAUCCGGGUUUUCAAGGCCGAGACACGAGACGAGCUCCCAAGGGAGUGAAGUUGUUGAUGCCCUGCUUCCAGGAAAAGCUUCUAAACUUAUGAUUAUAUGAACCGUACCCCAAACCGACACAGGUGGUCAGGUAGAGAAUACUAAGGCGCUUGAGAGAACUCGGGUGAAGGAACUCGGCAAAAUUGUACCGUAACUUCGGGAGAAGGUACGCCUCUGUUUGUGAACACUUCGCGUGGUAAGCAAAUGGAGGCCGCAGUGACCAGGUGGCUGGGACUGUUUAUUAAAAACACAGCACUCUGCAAACUCGUAAGAGGACGUAUAGGGUGUGACACCUGCCCGGUGCCGGAAGGUUAAUUGAUGGGGUUAGUUUUCGGACGAAGCUCUUGAUCGAAGCCCCGGUAAACGGCGGCCGUAACAAUAACGGUCCUAAGGUAGCGAAAUUCCUUGACAGGUAAGUUCUGUCCCGCAUGAAUGGUGUCACGACUGCCCCACUGUCUCCAUUGUGGACUCAGCGAAAUUGAAGUGCCCGUGCAGAUGCGGGCUUGAAGCAGCAAGACGGGAAGACCCUGUGCACCUUGACUUGACCCUUGCACUGAAGCAGAAAGGUUUGCUGAAAAGAAUAUGUGGC